rnacentral:rRNA from 1 species
AUUGAACGCUGGCGGCAGGCCUAACACAUGCAAGUCGAGCGGAGCGGCGGACGGGUGAGUAAUGCCUAGGAAUCUGCCUGGUAGUGGGGGAUAACGUCCGGAACCGGGCGCUAAUACCGCAUACUAUCAGAUGAUCCUAGGUCGGAUUAGCUAGUUGGUGGGGUAAAGGCCUACCAAGGCGACGAUCCGUAACUGGUCUGAGAGGAUGAUCAGUCACACUGGAAAGGAGACACGGGCCAGACUCCUACGGGAGGCAGCAGUGGGGAAGAUGGGACAAUGGGCGAAAGCCUGAUCCAGCCAUGCAGCGUGAGUGAAGAAGGCCUUCAGAUUGUAAAGCACUUUAAGUUGGGAGGCGUUACCAACAGAAUAAGCACCGGCGAACUUCGUGCCAGCCGCAGCGGUAAUAA